UACGAAGGGGGCUAGCGUUGCUCGGAAUCACUGGGCGUAAAGGGUGCGUAGGCGGGUCUUUAAGUCAGGGGUGAAAUCCUGGAGCUCAACUCCAGAACUGCCUUUGAUACUGAAGAUCUUGAGUUCGGGAGAGGUGAGUGGAACUGCGAGUGUAGAGGUGAAAUGCGUAGAUAUCGGGAGGAACACCAGUGGCGAAGGCGACUUCCUGGCCUGUUCUUGACGCUGAGGCGCGAAAGCUAGGGUAGCAAACGGG
rnacentral:rRNA from 1 species